UCGAACACCAUCUCCUUCGUUAAAAGCCUCUCUUUAUCGGAGGUCUAAACCUUGCCAGUCCGAAGAUGAACACGUGGUCGGCAAUGGUUUCCUCAAGAUUGCUUCUUUUCAGCCCUGCUAUUUUCAUGCUAAUUGCUGUAGUCGUCGGGCAGCCAGCCUUUGAUCUAAACUCUUUCUGUUCAACCGGAGAGAGCGACUGCACUGCUAAACGUACAUCCGACGCAUGCUUCCAACAUCACCUCCGCCGCUCAUCCCUGUCAUCCUACUCAAAUGGUUCUCCCCACAUCCAUUUGAGAUUACCCCACUCGAACGGCUCCAAUAUUGUUGAUUUAUUCAUGUGGAACACGCCAUUUUGUAAACAGAUUUUAGAUUAACUGUGGUACUCAAAACAUCCGGAAAAUAUAGGAUUUCAUGGAGGAGCCCACCUCGUGCUGCAGCAGCACUUGGUUUCUACCACACCUGCACUGGAGAGGACUCCGAUAUAGUCUAUGGACAGGCGCUUCGUAGAGGGGAUGUCAACUCCACAGUUUGUCGGAUUUGUAUACAGACUGCAACCAAGGAAAUCUUAAAGCAGUGCGUAAGUGAAGAUGCUAUGAUAUGGUUUGAACUCUGUUUGGUCCGGUAUGACUCGGUUCAAUCGGUUUACAUGAGUGGUUCUUUUACCACCGGUAAGUUCAUAAACCGACGGUACAACGCAAGUUUUCACUGGUUGCUCGACGCCCUCCGGCCCCUCCCAGCUUCUCAAGGCAACAAACACCCAAAAAGAUUGAAGCACCAAAAACU